UGUAAGUGUAACCAAACCUUAAAGAAAAGAUCUUGGUUUAAGCAUAUGCCAAAUUCCUUCAGUCACAUGGGGUUUUGUCAUUCUGUGUGAAUCCCAUCCGUUACAAUUCUUCAAUUCUCAACUCAGAGAUAUGUUCAGUGCUGCUGUAUGACUGGCACUUGACUCUGACUUUGUGUGAAAUGCAAUUCCAUCCAUGGUGAAUAGGAAGGGAAAAACCCCGGCACAAACCUCCCAAUUGACUGUGUGCGCUUUCAUUGUCUCCCAUGUUCUCUCUGGCAACUCACGCCAGGCUAUUCAUUCCGCUCCUCAGCUGUGGCACUCCUGUGUCAACAAACAAAUGGCUUCCUCCCUCUGGUGGAUUUGCAUGUAAUUACAGAAGCAAUCAGGCGUCUGUUUAGGGAGAUCAGUGGGGAAAUGAGAGGAUGGGACAUUUAUCAUUCUCUCGCUGUUUAGUGUCCUUUCGUCUUCAAUUGCAACAGCUGUUCUCCCUUUGUCUGUCCUCCCUGCCUCAUAUCUCUGCUGAUACUGAGUGUUUUUUUUGUUGUUGUUUGUUUUUUCUGUCUAGGGGUUUUGGGGUUUUACAUCAUAAAUGUUUCCAUGUGCAAUCUUCAAUCCAGGACCAUUUCAACAGUUUAUUUUCAUAUUCAGUAGCAGAGGCUGUAUCAGUGCAGUGUCUGAUGUUGACAACUGGCUAUAUUUGGACACGGGCAGGCAGGCAGGCAGAGAGACAGGUUGACAUGCAGGUAGACAGGUAGACGAGCAGGCAGGUGAGCUCGCGGGCCUGAAGGCUGGUGUAAAAGCAGGUAUUCCCCCGCGUCUAAAGGCGGGGCGUGGAGCCCGUGCUGUGGCUGCCUCCUCUAACAUCUGCUCUCUGUUUGUGUCUCACAGGCCGGUCCCUCUUCUCCGCAUGUGCCCAGAACAGUAUGAGUGAGUGUUACUCUAUGCUACACAUGUGCCCAGAACAGUAUGAGUGAGUGUUACGCUAUGCUACACAUGUGCCCAGAACAGUAUGAGUGAGUGUUACUCUAUGCUACACAUGUGCCCAGAACAGUAUGAGAUGGCUCCGAUAGCAGGCUGGGAGCGAGCCGUGUCUGUGGAAUCUGCCUCAGCCGCAGGAGGAGGGUUUCCGGAGCACGAGUUUAUCCUACCAGAGGCACACAGUGCCAGCACAUCUUGCAGUCCCCUCCACGUCCAGCAAGGGGACACCCACAAACACAGCCACACCUCCAGCCCAGUCCAAGGUCAAGCCAUAAAGAGGAGCGAGAUGCCUGAGGAACCUGAUGGUCUCAUAUCUGCCCUAGAAGAGGAGAGCUGUUAAUACUACCGCACUCUCCUCACGCGCCAGAAUAACAAUUUGAAGACGAGAGAGGAACGGCUCAGCCACGUUCUAGAGCGCUCAUAAACACAAAUCAUUCAGUUGCCAUUUCGGAUGGAUUUAUUGAACUGACAGUCAGCAAGGUCAAACAGGACAAGUGACUCUGAGAUUUAAAGAGUGAAUUAAAGUUAACAUUAACUACUCAAACCCAGACUGUUGUGGUGUGUUUUGGAGUUACGUUUAACGUGUUUCAUAAUGAGUAUUGGAAUUCAACUGAAAUUCUCUGUUACUACCCAAUAAAGAAGUACCCACCUAGCAACCGUCUAGCCCCUGCACAUGACUUCGCUGGAGCUUGAGGGGAGUUUAAAGUAUC
ensembl:lncRNA